rnacentral:rRNA from 1 species
UACGAAGGGGGCUAGCGUUGUUCGGAAUUACUGGGCGUAAAGCGCACGUAGGCGGACAUUUAAGUCAGGGGUGAAAUCCCGAGGCUCAACCUCGGAACUGCCUUUGAUACUGCAAAUCUCGAGUCCGGAAGAGGUGAGUGGAAUUCCUAGUGUAGAGGUGAAAUUCGUAGAUAUUAGGAAGAACACCAGUGGCGAAGGCGGCUCAC